rnacentral:rRNA from 1 species
CCUACGGGUGGCAGCAGUGAGGAAUAUUGGUCAAUGGACGAGAGUCUGAACCAGCCAAGUAGCGUGAAGGAUGACUGCCCUAUGGGUUGUAAACUUCUUUUAUAUGGGAAUAAAAUGUUCCACGUGUGGGAUUUUGUAUGUACCAUAUGAAUAAGGAUCGGCUAACUCCGUGCCAGCAGCCGCGGUAAUACGGAGGAUCCGAGCGUUAUCCGGAUUUAUUGGGUUUAAAGGGAGCGUAGGUGGAUUGUUAAGUCAGUUGUGAAAGUUUGCGGCUCAACCAUAAAAUUGCAGUUGAAACUGGCAGUCUUGAGUACAGUAGAGGUGGGCGGAAUGCGUGGUGUAGCGGUGAAAUGCUUAGAUAUCACGAAGAACUCCGAUUGCGAAGGCAGUUCACUGGACUGCAACUGACACUGAGGCUCGAAAGUGUGGGUAUCAAACAGGAUUAGAUACCCGUGUAGUC